GCGCUCGUGUGAUACGGAGUUUCAUCCGGUAAAGCGAAUGAUCAGAGGAGCUGGGCUCCUUGCGAGCUCAACCUAUUCUCAAACUUUCAAUGGGUGAGACGUCUCGCUGGCUUCACUGCAGCGACGACUCUGAAUCCGAGUGCCCAGUGGGCCACUUUUGGUAAGCAGAACUGGCGAUGCGGGAUGAACCGCAUGUCGAGUUAAGGUGCCUAAGCGGACGCAAAUCAGAUACCAUGAAAGGUGUUGAUUGCUCACGACAGCAGGACGGUGGCCAUGGAAGUCGGCAUCCGCUAAGGAGUGUGUAACAACUCACCUGCCGAAGCAAUCAGCCCUGAAAAUGGAUGGCGCUAAAGCGUUCCACCGAUACUCGACCGUCGUCGGCAGGCGACGUGCAUGCCACGUCUCAAGCCACGACGAGUAGGGCGGCGCGGUGGUGAGCGUCGAAGGCGUAGCCGUGAGGCUAGCUGGAGCCGCCAUCGGUGCAGAUCUUGGUGGUAGUAGCAAAUACACAAGCAAGAUCCUUGUGGACCGAUGUGGAGAAGGGUUCCGCGCGAACAGUACUUGGACGUGGGUGAGUCGGCCCUAAGCCAACGGGUAAUUCCCGCAUCCCGUGUUGACCGUUUCUGAAUCGAAUAACAUGGGUUGAU
rnacentral:rRNA from 1 species